rnacentral:rRNA from 1 species
GACGAACCGUGCGAACGUUAUUCGGAAUCACUGGGCUUAAAGGGCGCGUAGGCGGGUCCGUAAGUCAGGGGUGAAAUCCCACGGCCCAACCGUGGAAGUGCCUCUGAUACUGCGGGCCUCGAGGGGGAUAGGGGCGUGCGGAACUCAGGGUGGAGCGGUGAAAUGCGUAGAUAUCCUGAGGAACACCGGUGGCGAAAGCGGCGCGCUGGAUCCCUUCUGACGCUGAGGCGCGAAAGCCAGGGGAGCAAACGUG